GGACACGGGUGCCCAGGGAUGCUGGCGCUGUCACUCACCGCAUCCUUCAUCCCUCCCUCCUUCCCUCCCUCCUCCUCUCCCUCCGUCCCUCCCUCCCUCCCGCAGCAGCUCCCGGGCAUGGUGUGCUGCAGAGCCGCGGGUCAGGCGCCCGCAGCCUCCGCCGCUUCUCCUCCGCCCUGAAAUCCCCUGGGGAAUUAAAAAAAGAGAGGGAAAAAAAAAGGUUUUUUGCACAGCUGCCGGGCAUUGGGAGCAUCUCCCGGGAUCAAGCAGGAUCAGGCCAGGGAAUGAUGGAGCUGCGGCGUUGGAGGAUGCCCAGGGAGCAGCUCCCCGCUCGCCUCCUCCUCCUCCUCCUGGCCGUGGCCUGGCUCUGGCUGCCGGCGGAGGGGCGGCGGCCCCCCCGGCCUCCCCCUUGCCCCCCGAGCUGCUCCUGCACCCGGGACACGGCUUUCUGCGUGGACUCCAAGGCCGUGCCCAAAAACCUGCCCCCCGAGGUCAUCUCGCUGACCAUGGUGAACGCGGCUUUCACAGAGAUCCGGGAGGCGGCCUUUGCCCACAUCCCCUCCCUGCAGUUCCUCCUCCUCAACUCCAACAAGUUCACUCUGAUCGGGGACAACGCCUUCGCCGGGCUCUCGCACCUGCAGUACCUGUUCAUUGAGAACAACGACAUCCAGGCGCUCUCAAAGGCCACUUUCCGCGGGCUCAAGUCCCUGACACACCUCUCCUUGGCCAACAACAACCUGCAGACGCUGCCACGGGACCUCUUCAAGCCGCUGGACAUCCUGAGUGACCUGGACCUCCGUGGCAACUCGCUGGCCUGUGACUGCAAGAUCAAGUGGCUGGUGGAGUGGCUGGAGAGCACCAACACCACGGUCCCCGCCGUGUUCUGCAGCAGCCCCGGGCAGUUCGAGGGACAGCGGAUCCGGGACCUGGCGCUCAGUGACUUCCAGUGCAUCACCACGGAUUUUGUGAUGCACCAGGUCCUGCCCUUCCAGGCGGUGUCGGCCGAGCCCUUCACCUACGCCAGUGACCUGUACGUGGCCCUGGCCCAGCCCAGCGCCAGCAGCUGCUCCAUCCUCAAGUGGGACUACGUGGAGCGCAAACUCCGCGACUUCGACCGCAUCCCCGCUCACUCGGCGGUGCACUGCAAGCCCAUCGUGGCGCAGGAGCAGCUCUACGUGGUGGUGGCGCAGCUCUUUGGCGGCUCCUACAUCUACCGCUGGGACACGGCCGUGGACAAGUUCAUCAAGAUCCAGGACAUCGACAGCCAGAAGAUCCGCAAGCCCAACGACAUCGAGGCCUUCCAGAUCGAGGGCGACUGGUACUUCGUCAUCGCCGACAGCUCCAAGGCGGGCUCCACCAGCCUCUACCGCCUCAACCAGAACGGCUUCUACUCCCACCAAGCCCUGCACGCCUGGCACCGCGACACCGACGUGGAGUACGUGGAGAACGACGGCAAACCCCGGCUGAUCAUCUCCAGCAGCUCCCAGGCGCCCGUCAUCUACCAGUGGAGCCGGGCCCAGAAGCAGUUCGUGCCUCAGGGCGAGGUGGGCGAGAUGCUGGACGUGCAGAUGGUCAAACACUUCAGGGCCAAGCGGGAGCAGUUCCUGUGCCUCAGCCGCUACAUCGGCGACUCCAAGGUGGUGCGCUGGGAAGGGCAGCGCUUCGUGGAGGUGCAGACGCUGCCGUCGCGCGGCUCCAUGGUGAUGCAGCCCUUCGCCGUGGGCCAGCGGCAGUACCUGGCGCUGGGCAGCGACUUCUCCUUCACCCACGUCUACCUGUGGGAGGAGGAGAAGCAGAAAUUCGCCAAGUUCCAGGAGCUGUCGGUGCAGGCGCCGCGGGCGUUCCGGGCCGUGCCGGCGGCCGACGUGCAGCUGCUGCUGGCGCCCAGCUUCAAGGCCAACACGCUGGUGUACCGGCACGUGGUGGUGGACCUCAGCCUGUAGCUGGCACCCCGAGAGCCACCGGACAUGCAUGAGCCCACCACCCCUUGUCCCACCCCACAUGCCGGCCCUCCACCUUCACCCAGCCCCACGGUGCCUCAGUUUCCCCACGGUGCUCCCGGGUUCACGCUGUGGGACGCCCCUUGCGCUGCAGAGCGUCACCCCUGGGGGGUGGAGAGGGUUUGGGGGGGUCUUUGGGGUGGGAGAUGGGGGUAGGAAAGGAGGGGGGCAGCGGGCAGGGAUGUGGUGGGAGGGGUGGGGGCUCCAAGGAUGCUGAGGGGCUUUGGGAUGGUCCAAAGUGGGUGGGAUGGCCAAGGUGGAUGUGGUGGCGUGGCCUGGGGAGGAUGGAUCUGAGGUGGGUGCAGAUGGGAUGGUGAGGAUGAUGAUGGGGUGUCCUGGGGUGGUCUGAGGAUGCAGAUGGGAUGGUGAGGAUGAUGAUGGGAUGCUCCAGGGAUGCUCUGAGGAUGAUGAUGGGAUGCUGAGGGUGAUGAUGAGAAGCUCCAGGAGGUUCUGAGGAUGCAGAUGAGAUGCUGAGGAUGAUGAUGGGAAGCUCCAAGCCCAGCGGAAUGACCCAAGGAUGAUGAUGGGAUGCUCCAAGGCCAGCAGGAUGCCCUGAGGAUGAUGAUGGGAUGCUCUGAGGAUGAUGAUAGGAUGCCCCAGGAUGCCCUGAGGAUGAUGAUGGGAUGCUCUGAGGAUGACAAUGGGAUGCCCCAGGAUGCCCUGAGGAUGAUGAUGGCAUGAUCCGGGAUGCUCUGAGGUGGAUGAAGCAGUGGACAGAGGAAUGCUCCAGGCCAGCAGCUCCUGUCCCUCUCCGUGCAUGCCCAGCAGCUCCCCGUGCCCAUGGCCCCGCUGCCAGGCAGGGCCCAGCGUGCCAGUGGGGUGCCCGUGCCCACCAACCCCCCAAUAAACACACUGUGCCCCCCA